GACGUAGGGCGCGAGCGUUGUCCGGAUUUCUUGGGCGUAAAGAGCUCGUAGGCGGCUUGUCGCGUCGACUGUGAAAACCCGCGGCUCAACCGUGUGGCGGGCAGUUGAUACGGGCAGGCUAGAGUUCGGUAGGGGAGACUGGAAUUCCUGGUGUAGCGGUGAAAUGCGCAGAUAUCAGGAGGAACACCGGUGGCGAAGGCGGGUCUCUGGGCCGAUACUGACGCUGAGGAGCGAAAGCGUGGGGAGCGAACAGG
rnacentral:rRNA from 1 species